rnacentral:rRNA from 1 species
UACGAAGGGGGCUAGCGUUGUUCGGAAUUACUGGGCGUAAAGCGCGCGCAGGCGGUCUUCCAAGUCAGUGGUGAAAGCCCGGAGCUCAACUCCGGAACUGCCAUUGAAACUGUUAGACUUGAGGAUGAGAGAGGUGAGUGGAAUUCCCAGUGUAGAGGUGAAAUUCGUAGAUAUUGGGAAGAACACCGGUGGCGAAGGCGGCUCACUGGCUCAUUACUGACGCUCAUGUGCGAAAGCUAGGGGAGCGAACGGG